rnacentral:rRNA from 1 species
UACAGAGACUGCAAGCGUUAUUCGGAUUCACUGGGCGUAAAGGGUGCGCAGGCGGCCGAGUGUGUGAGGCGUGAAAGCCCGGGGCUUAACCCCGGAAUUGCACCUCAAACUACACGGCUAGAGCAUUGGAGAGGGUAGCAGAAUUCAUGGUGUAGCAGUGAAAUGCGUAGAUAUCAUGAGGAAUACCAGAGGCGAAGGCGGCUACCUGGACAAUGCUGACGCUCAGGCACGAAAGCGUGGGGAGCAAAAGGG